rnacentral:ribozyme from 1 species
GUGGACAAGAACGGAGCGCCAGUGACGCCGGCGCCACCGGGCAAUCCAGGCACCACCGGUGGCAA